rnacentral:rRNA from 1 species
CCUACGGGAGGCAGCAAUUAGGAAUCUUGCGCAAUGGGGGCAACCCUGACGCAGCGACACAGUGUGGAGGAGGAAGGUCUUCGGAUUGUACACUCCUUUUAUGAGGGAAGAAUAGAUGACGGUACCUCAUGAAUAAGCACCUGCUAACUACGUGCCAGAAGCAUCGGUGAUGCGUAGGGUGCGAACGUUAUCCGGAAUUAUUGGGCGUAUAGAGAAGCGUAGGUGUUUUUGUAAGUCUUUAGUUAAAUACCACGGCUCAACCGUGGAGAAGCUUUGGAAACUACAAAAAUUGAGACAGGAAGGGACGAAUGGAAUUCCCAGUGGAGCGGUGAAAUGCGUUGAUAUUGGGAGGAACAUCAGUGGCGAAGGCGAUUCGCUGGUCCUUGUCUGACACUAAGGCUCGAAAGCGUGGGGAGCGAAAC